CAGGGCCCUGUGCCGGAGGUGGCUGUUAGAGCCUGGGAUCCUCCUGGUCACACUGGAAGGAGCCACCCAGAGGCCCUAAGGCUGGGUUGCUGGGAGACAAGGAGCUACAAUCUGUGGAGAGGGGCCAGGGAGGAGGUCUUCUGUGUCCCUCCUCCUUCUCACGAUGAUGCUACAGUGUGCUUGUGGUGACCCGCAGGGAGCUGAUGGGCUGGCUCCUGGGCAAUGGACACUGAAUGCAGCACUGCAGUGUUGCAACCGCGGAUCUGAUAACCCAGCUGGCUGCUAAGUGGCUCCGCAGCCUCAGUCCGCAGACCGCAGGACUCCGUGGUCCUCCUAGAGCUGUUUUUACCACCUUUGCCCACCAGAGGGCGCGCUGCGACCCGCAAACGCGCCGGGCCUGCUCCCGGAACUGGUCAAUGGCCCCGUCACCCGUAGAAACCACCUCCCUACGUCUCUAAGCCCCAGAGGGUCCUGGUUUCUGUCCCUCCUCUGGGAUUCACAGCUUUUCAGCUAGCAAACCGCCACGUUGCCAUGGCAACUGCCGCUUCCCCUGUCUCUUCCUCCUUAGCCAGUUCUCCCGGCUAAUUUCAGAAUUGCUCUCCUGCGCGCGCGGGGCUCCUGCACGGCCCCUCGCCCCAGCCCUGCUUGUGGUGGCUCCUGAAAGAUUCCAGGACAGCAGGCGUGGCGGCGCAGGCCUGUAACCCCAGCAAUCAGGAGGCUGAGGCAAGAGGAGCGCUGUGAGCUCGAGGCCAGCCUGAACUACAUAGUGAGACUCUGUCUCAAAACAAAGAAAUAACAAAAUUUCAAGACGACUCCAUGGCCCCGCGUGCCCCGCAGCAGGAGAGAGCGGGGAGGUAAGGGUGGUACCCAGACAGGAGCCCAUGAGCCCUCUGUCAGCCCGGGUGCUCCUGUCAGUCGUCAGAGGUCCCUGCAGGCUGCCAGCCCCCGACCCACCCUCCACCUCCCUCUCUUCUGGGAAACCCUCCUUUUCCUGCUUGCUCCACCAGGAUUCCAGGUACGAAAGCUCGGCCGUCCACACAUUUUAAUGGAUGUGCUCAUAAUGAGUGUGUUUCAAUGCGACGUUUUAAAAAAUUGAAUGUCUGCAAA